UCUCAUUAAAAAACAAAACUCGGUUCAAGAGUAAUACUCCGAAACCUUACAAAAUAAAACAACGGGUGUUGACUCUGAUGUCAUCCCGACAUACAGAAUCACACUCGUACACAAUUGCCCUACAUGGCUUGAUUUCUCUCUGUAAGCUCUUGGCAGACUUAGGGAACAACGAGUGCUGUAAAAGAUGUUAUCGUAACACACAACAUAACACUCGUACAAGAAUCGCCUAUCACCCUCUCAAGCUGCACUUUGAAUGAGAACUCUUCCCCAGCUUAUAUAGGCGUCUCCAACUUGCUCCCCAAGCCUUGAAAAACGUGCUGCAAGUGAUGGAUGGAGUGGUUGUUGAAGUGGUUAGGUUUUCCUUGUUUGUAGGAACAAACUCCACCAACUUUCUUCCCUUAACUUCCAACAGCAACGUUUGAGCCUCCAACCACUCCCUUUCUCUCUCUUUUCCCUCUUCUCAUCUUCCUUAUUUGUAGGAGUCUUCAACCUCUCUUUGACUCAGCCAUUCGAACCCUACAAAACACACGUGAAGAAGGCAAAACAAACCAAAACUUUAGGAAAGUUUUAUGGAGUUAAAAAUUAACUCCAAGAAACUCCCCCUUUUUGCCUUUCUUCACAAAACCAAUCUCCAUGAAAUCUCCCCCUAAACGGAUGUUCUCCCCCUGCAUUUGAACUUCCUGAAAGAGUAAUUUGCACCAUCCAAAAUUGGUGGUCGCAUAAAUCCCAGAUUGUUGGACUCCAUGUUGAAGCAACUGUUCUGAUAACAACGAGGAUCACACUCAGUGUGUCGAGUGACCGCUCUGAUACCACUUGAAAGUGUUGCUUCGUCUGGAUCAAAAUGUUGUGCAGAAUGUUGGAACAGCACGCACAACAACACAGAGUAAAAAGCAGCGGAAAUAAAUAAAAAUAGGAGAGAAGACACAAGGAGAUACAAAAAUUCUUCAAGUUAUAAAGUAUAACUUGAAGACGCCUCAUGGCAAAAUGACUAAAGGGAGAAUGAACAACUCACGUUCAAUACCUUUACAAGACUCUAGGUAUUGAACAAACGACACUCUCAUUAAAAAACAAAACUCGGUUCAAGAGUAAUACUCCGAAACCUUACAAAAUAAAACAACGGGUGUUGACUCUGAUGUCAUCCCGACAUACAGAAUCACACUCGUACACAAUUGCCCUACAUGGCUUGAUUUCUCUCUGUAAGCUCUUGGCAGACUUAGGGAACAACGAGUGCUGUAUAAGAUGUUAUCGUAACACACUACAUAACACUCGUACAAGAAUCGCCUUUCACCCUCUCAUGUUGCCCUUUGAAUGAGGACUCUUCCCUAGCUUAUAUAGGCGUCUCCAACUUGCUCCCCAAGCCUUGAAAAACGUGUUGCAAGUGAUGGAUGGAGUGGUUGUUGAAGUGGUUAGGUUUUCCUUGUUUGUAGGAACAAACUCCACCAACUUUCUUCCCUUAACUUCCAAUAGCAACGUUUGAGCCUCCAACCACUCCCUUUCUCUCUCUUUUCCCUCUUCUCAUCUUCCUUAUUUGUAGGAGUCUUCAACCUCUCUUUGACUCAGCCAUUCGAACCCUACAAAACACACGUGAAGAAGGCAAAACAAACCAAAACUUUAGGAAAGU
rnacentral:lncRNA from 1 species